rnacentral:rRNA from 1 species
UACGUAGGGGGCGAGCGUUGUCCGGAAUUAUUGGGCGUAAAGAGCUCGUAGGCGGCUUAGUAAGUCGGCGGUGAAAUACCGAGGCUCAACCUCGGCACUGCCGUCGAUACUGCUAUGGCUAGAGUUUGGUAGAGGAGAACGGAAUUCCAGGUGUAGCGGUGAAAUGCGUAGAUAUCUGGAGGAACACCGGUGGCGAAGGCGGCAU